UCCCUAUCUUUAAGUACAGGGGCUAAAGUGAUAAUAGCUGAUAAUUAUCAUCUCAACGUGUUUUAGAUCAGUGAGGACUGAGAAGACUCUUGCUUGCCGGCUUUUAGGGUUUAUUACGAGCGUUUUAGGGUUUUUCUGAGUACGGAUACGGCCACCGAUUCUUUCUCAAUCAAAGCUCUGUAAUGUAUGUUCUUUCCGUUUAUUGAUAAUCUACAUGAUGUAUUUGUUCAAUUUUUUGUGAAUAUCUUACCUGUAGCGUUGCUGUUUGUGUACGUAAUCUUGAGGAAUGAGUUUUAUCUUGAAUUAUUUAUGUUGUCUGAACAUGUUCUUAAAGAGUAAUGAUUAAUUUUUCUUCACCUUUUUUGUGCAUUUCAAACUACAUUAAAUCUUCUAUAGAACAUGUGUUACAUGCGUUUGGUAUGUGUUAAAAGUUAAAGCCUUUUUAAAUAAGCUUUGUCACACACCCUCUGUGUCCUUAUCUGUUGUCCCCUUUAAGGUAGCCAAGUAUACGGAUUAUAACAAUAUUAUAAAAAAUAGAGUAAAUUACAAAUUGGUCCCUAUGCUUUACUCCAAAUCGCAAAUUUGGUCGAGUUUUGAAAUCUUCCCAAAGUCGUCUUCACGUUUGCAUCAUUACAGAUUUUAUAGUCCAUCUGAAAACAGAAUAUAAAAUAAGUAUUAAAAGAAACAACAUUAGACCAAACUUGAGAUUUUGCAUAAAGCAUGUCGACCAAAUCCAUAACUUAAGGACAACUUCGAGAAGAAUUAUUAUAAAAUGGACCAAAUUUGUAAUUACUUCAAAAAAAAUUAAUUACGUUUGAUUGGAGAUCUUAUUUGUGUAGGGGACAAUAGGGUGUGGGCAUAAAUAAGGAUACAUUGGACUUGAAACAUAAUUAAUGUUGUUAAUUCAUCAAAAGCUUCAAAAUCCAGUGUUAAGGGUUUAUGUUAUAAGUGUAUAAUCAAAUAAAAAAAACACAGUGUCAGUGGGUUUCUCUUUGCAGCAUACGAUCUACUUACUAGCAGAUAGCAAUGGCUGGCAAAAGCUCUAUCUUGGAUCAGAGUGUUCAAGAAACAGAUUUGCAAAACGCAUUGGACUAUGCUACAAGUGUUUACAAAUCUUCUCUCUACCUUGCCCUUGCUAGAGUAAGGGAAGCCCGUGAUAAGGCAUUUGAGUAUUUUAGAUAUAUGCCAAGAGCCGGUGCCAUAAGGGAAAAAGUUAAACAAAAUAUUCGUUUAACCUUAUUUAGAAGUAUUUAUAGGAUGCAUUAAAAGAAGCACAUGAGGAGGCUUUCUUGAAGGCAUUGGUGGCAUUUGAUUUUGCAACAAGGGUUGUAGGUUCUGGUGCACAAGAAUACAAAAGGUGUCUUGAGGAGUUUAUGACAAAUGAAUAUGAGGCUUUUGAGGAUUCACAGUGCAAAAGGGCAAUGGAACAUGCUGCUGAAGUUUUCAAUUCUGUUCUUAACACUCAAUCACAUAUGAUGAUGGGCAUUGUUAAAGAACCAAUUGGCUCCGUUUCAGUACAUUAUCAUUCUGCUAACAAAGGCAAUAAUCAGUUGUUAGUAGAAAACGCAUUGGACCAUGCUAAAGACGUUUACAAGUCUUCUUUCAAACCUCUAGUAGCUUUGUUAGCAGAAGCCGGUAAUAAGGCAGUAGCUGCUUUUAGGGGUGUGGCUGUAGGGGCGGGUGGGCCCGGUUCUAUAAGGAGAAAAUAUAAACAUAUUCUUCCUUCGUGACAUUAUGCGUAAGGAAUAUAAGGAUGCAAUAAAAAAAAAACACAUGAGGAGGCUGCUUCAAGCGCAUUGCUAGCUUUUGAAUGUACAGCAAGGGCUGUAGGUUCUGUUAAGGAAAAAUACAAAAGGGUUCUUGAGGAUUUCAUGAGAAACGAAUAUGAGGGUUUUGAAGAAUCAGAGAACAGAAGGAUCCUAGCAUAUGUUCUUGAACUUCUCCAAAUUCUCAACCUGGAUAUUCAACAUGAGUAGCACAUGUUCAAAAGGCAAUAGGUAGGGCAGGUUGUUCAGGUAUUAUGUAUAAAAAUUAGGGCAAAAAAUAUUUGUAGGUGUUGCUUUUGAAAAUGUCAUCUUUGACUGAUGGCUUCCAUCUGCCAAAAUUAUUGAUCCUACCAAUGAACAGUCUAUAAAUCUAGAUUGGCUAAUUAUUGAUCGGGUGAUAGUGCCCUAAGCAUGGGCUUAUGUU